CCUAUACCAAUAGGAGAAUUAAUGCUAAAAUGAGUAACUAGGGCACGUCUCCCUCUCAAGCGCAAACUUACAUCCACACAUUAUUACCAGACAACUAAUACCCCUACUCCAACAAGACUACAUAUUUCACCCCCUGUUAACCCAACCCAGGAGCGCCUACUAGAAAGAUUAAAAUCUGUAAAAGGAACUAGGCAAACUCCUAAGGCCCGACUGUUUACCAAAAACAUAGCCUUCAGCCGAACCAAGUAUUGAAGGUGAUGCCUGCCCAGUGACACCACGUUCAACGGCCGCGGUAUCCUAACCGUGCGAAGGUAGCGCAAUCAAUUGUCCCAUAAAUCGAGACUUGUAUGAACGGCUAAACGAGGUCUUAACUGUCUCUUACAGAUAAUCAGUGAAAUUGAUCCCCUUGUGCAAAAGCAAGGAUAAACCCAUAAGACGAGAAGACCCUGUGGAACUUAAAAAUCAGCAGCCACUCCAUAACACAAACCAAACCUACUAGGCCUACCAUCACAACACACGCUGGCUAGCAUUUUUCGGUUGGGGCGACCUUGGAGAAAAGCAAACCCUCCAAAAAUAAGACCAUCCCUCUUAACCAAGAGCAACCCCUCAACGUACUAAUAGUAACCAGACCCAAUAUAAUUGAUCAAUGGACCAAGCUACCCCAGGGAUAACAGCGCAAUUCCCUCCAAGAGCCCACAUCGACGAGGGGGUUUACGACCUCGAUGUUGGAUCAGGACAUCCUAAUGGUGCAGCCGCUAUUAAGGGUUCGUUUGUUCAACGAUUAACAGUCCUACGUGAUCUGAGUUCAGACCGGAGCAAUCCAGGUCGGUUUCUAUCUAUGAAGAACUUUUCCUAGUACGAAAGGACCGGAAAAGUAAGGCCAAUGCUUCAGUGUACGCCUCCUCUCUAAGUAAAUGACCACAACUGAAUUACCUAAGAGACUUUCCACAUACACCCAGUCCUAGAAAAGGACC
rnacentral:rRNA from 1 species